CUCCAUUCAGUGACAUAUAAUAAAAUUAGAACAAUACAGAGAAUAUUAGCAUGACUCAUGUACAAGAUUACGUGCAUAAAUAAGAAAAUAUACUAUUAUUA